rnacentral:rRNA from 1 species
AAUAUUUGAAAAUGGGCGAAAGCCUGAUCCAGCCAUGCCGCGUGUGUGAAGAAGGUCUUCGGAUUGUAACGCACUUUAAGUUGGGAGGAAGGGUUGUAGGUUAAUACCCUGCACUUUUGACGUUACCAACAGAAUAAGAACCGGCUAACUACGUGCCAGCAGCCGCGGUAAUACGUAGGGUGCAAGCGUUAAUCGGAAUUACUGGGCGUAAAGCGCGCGUAGGUGGUUCGUUAAGUUGGAAGUGAAAGCCCCGGGCUUAACCUGGGAAUUGCUUUCAAAACUGACGAGCUAGAGUACGGUAGAGGGUAGUGGAAUUUCCUGUGUAGCGGUGAAAUGCGUAGAUAUAGGAAGGAACACCAGUGGCGAAGGCGACCACCUGGGCUAAUACUGACACUGAGGUGCGAAAGCGUGGGGAGCAAACA